rnacentral:rRNA from 1 species
CCUACGGGAGACAGCAGUGGGGAAUAUUGCGCAAUGGGCGAAAGCCUGACGCAGCGACGCCGCGUGAGGGAUGAAGGUCUUCGGAUCGUAAACCUCUGUCAGCAGGGAAGAACGGUCACUGUGCUAAUCAGCAGUGAAUUGACGGUACCUGCAAAGGAAGCACCGGCUAACUCCGUGCCAGCAGCCGCGGUAAUACGGAGGGUGCGAGCGUUAACCGGAAUUACUGGGCGUAAAGCGCUCGUAGGCGGUAUGUCAAGUCAAGGGUGAAAUCCCCGCGCUCAACGUGGGAACUGCCUUUGAAACUGGAAAACUUGAGUGUGUGAGAGGAUAGUGGAAUUCCAGGGGUAGGAGUGAAAUCCGUAGAUAUCUGGAGGAACAUCAGUGGCGAAGGCGACUAUCUGGCACAUAACUGACGCUGAGGAGCGAAAGCGUGGGUAGCAAACAGGAUUAGAUACCCGGGUAGUC